AAAAAAUUAUUUGCUACAGGAUACUAUCGCGUUAAUUACGAUAGUGAAAACUGGCAAAGAAUUGCAAAAUAUUUAAACUCUAGAGAAUAUAUAAAAGUACAUGUUCUCAAUCGUGCUAAAAUAAUCGACGACGCAUUUCAUUUUAUGACAAUACAACAACUCGAUUCUUCCAUAUUCUGGGAUUUGACGAGUUAUCUUGCACAAGAGACAAAUUAUAUAGCAUGGUAUCCUAUGAUCAAAGCUAUUGAAUACAUGUCGAGAAUCUUUCGAUUUAUAAAUAUAGAUGAAAGAAUCAAUGAUAUCAAGAACAAGUUAAACUACAUGUUAAGAGGUCUUCUCUCGAAAAUAAAAUAC